CUGUGGAGCUCACAGUAGUCUUUGUUCCAGCUGCUGCCCAAGCAGACAUGGAGGUGGUCUCCAGUUCUCCACUCAUCAGUAUUCAAAAGGUCGAGGCACAAUGCGACUCCCCAAGUCUAUCAAAGUACAUCAUCGGGGCUUUGGACCUCCGAGCAGCCGGCUCUGCUUCCAUUACCAUCAGCAGUGCCUCCUUGGGUCAGAAUCUCAUCAUCCUGGUCACAUUGAUACACGUGGCUAAUUCCGGUGCAGACAUGUAAGGUCAGUUUUCCUCUGCAAGUUCAUGGGAAGUCACAAUAAGGUUGACUCUUAAAAAUGUUUGACGCAGAGGAAUACCUCAAUUUGUUGUUAAUAUGAUUUGACUCGCACAAGCAAAUUCUGAACUAUAUUGUGUCGAUGACAUGGUUGUGUGCUUCCCUUGCUACUUGUGCUGCCUCUAAGUGACGAACUGCUGUUGUCAAGCCAAGAGAUGGCAAGUGUGCCGGUUGGGCCUUUUUUUGAAGUGUUGUAUUUUUGUGUUGACUGAAUAAACAUGCAUACUGGGCACCCUG